rnacentral:pre_miRNA from 1 species
UCUGCUUUCGAUGGGUAUGAGUUUAGUCCAUGUCAUUAAAUUAACUCAUGACUAGAUCCAUACUCGUCCAAAGCGGU